CCCUGUCUGUGUCCAUGUCAGUGUUUGUCUCCCUGUCUGUGUCCAUGUCAGUGUGUGUGUGUGUGUGUGUCUGUACAUUAAAGGAUCAUGUUCAGAGACCCUCCUAUCACUUUGCUCGUAGGUCUCCAUUUGAAAACCCCAAAUCCUGAUGAGUCUUUAGGAAUAAGUCUUUCAAACAAGCACAUGCUAACACACCCAUGCUGCCAUAAAGUAUAGGGUUCAAGUGUCAUCACCUGGUCCUGGGGCAGUAAUAUCCCAUAUUACUGUAUUACACACCUAGGGGACACACUGCUUAGAUUACCAGGCUGAGCCCAUGUCCUGUACACGCGCUGGGGGGGUGGGGGGGGUGGAACUUCUCACAGCUUUCCGUGACCUUUGCUUUUAUCACAAGCUU